rnacentral:rRNA from 1 species
CCUACGGGGGGCAGCAGUGGGGAAUAUUGGACAAUGGGGGGAACCCUGAUCCAGCCAUGCCGCGUGUGUGAAGAAGGCCCUCGGGUUGUAAAGCACUUUCAGUGAGGAAGAACGCCUGGUGGUUAAUACCCAUCAGGUAAGACAUCACUCACAGAAGAAGCACCGGCUAACUCCGUGCCAGCAGCCGCGGUAAUACGGAGGGUGCGAGCGUUAAUCGGAAUUACUGGGCGUAAAGCGCGCGUAGGUGGCUUGAUAAGCCGGUUGUGAAAGCCCCGGGCUCAACCUGGGAACGGCAUCCGGAACUGUCAAGCUAGAGUGCAGGAGAGGAAGGUAGAAUUCCCGGUGUAGCGGUGAAAUGCGUAGAGAUCGGGAGGAAUACCAGUGGCGAAGGCGGCCUUCUGGACUGACACUGACACUGAGGUGCGAAAGCGUGGGUAGCAAACAGGAUUAGAUACCCCAGUAGUC